AUUGAACGCUGGCGGCGUGCCUUACACAUGCAAGUCGAACGGUAACGGGCCUUCGGGCGCCGACGAGUGGCGAACGGGUGGGUAAUGCAUCGGAACGUACCUUUCAGUGGGGGAUAACGUAGCGAAAGUUACGCUAAUACCGCAUAUUCUGUGAGCAGGAAAGCAGGGGAUCGCAAGACCUUGCGCUGAUUGAGCGGCCGAUGUCAGAUUAGCUAGUUGGUGAGGUAAAGGCUCACCAAGGCGACGAUCUGUAGCGGGUCUGAGAGGAUGAUCCGCCACACUGGAACUGAGACACGGUCCAGACUCCUACGGGAGGCAGCAGUGGGGAAUUUUGGACAAUGGGGGCAACCCUGAUCCAGCCAUGCCGCGUGAGUGAAGAAGGCCUUCGGGUUGUAAAGCUCUUUCGGCCGGGAAGAAAUCGUAUGGGCUAAUACCCUGUGCGGAUGACGGUACCGGCAUAAGAAGCACCGGCUAACUACGUGCCAGCCGCCGCAGUAAAAC
rnacentral:rRNA from 1 species